rnacentral:rRNA from 1 species
AUUGAACGCUGGCGGCAUGCCUUACACAUGCAAGUCGAACGGUAACGGGCCUUCGGGUGCCGACGAGUGGCGAACGGGUGAGUAAUACAUCGGAACGUGCCCGAUCGUGGGGGAUAACGAGGCGAAAGCUUUGCUAAUACCGCAUACGAUCUACGGAUGAAAGCAGGGGACCGCAAGGCCUUGCGCGGACGGAGCGGCCGAUGGCAGAUUAGGUAGUUGGUGGGAUAAAAGCUUACCAAGCCGACGAUCUGUAGCUGGUCUGAGAGGAUGAUCAGCCACACUGGGACUGAGACACGGCCCAGACUCCUACGGGAGGCAGCAGUGGGGAAUUUUGGACAAUGGGCGCAAGCCUGAUCCAGCCAUGCCGCGCGCAGGAUGAAGGCCUUCGGGUUGUAAACUGCUUUUGUACGGAACGAAAAGCCUUCUUUUAAUACAGGAGGGUCAUGACGGUACCGGAAGAAUAAGCACUGGCUAACUACGUG